GAAAGCUUAUGAUAUCUCCUGGUCUGGUAUUAAGAGGCCAGGCUGGAAAAGGAAGGCACCAUUUCCAUCAUAUUCUUCUGGAGAGAACUUAGUCUCAUCUUCUUCACAGAAGAUGGGGAAAGGUGGCCCAGCUGGUCAGCCCUGUGCCUGGCUGCAUUUCUGUUACUAUGGAAGGAGGGAAAAAGGAAAGCCAGCAGUGCAUGUCACCCUUACAUAAGCUCCCUCCAUCAGGAAACUUAAGACCAACUCCAUUUGAUCUGAUCAGAGGACGUCUAUAAGGACCAACACAGUGUCACAUUCAAAAGCAUCUUUCUCCCCCUCCAAUCAACCAGUGUCCUGGGGCCUUCUUACCUCUGGAAUAGAAUCCAUGAAACUGAAAAUGGUUCGACAAAUGGAGCCCCAAAUGAUCACCACUAGCACCUACUAUCGAGGACCCCUAGACUGACCCGCCAACCCAUUCUUGCACUACGACACUGAAGACUCCCCUCCGGAGGAAACCUCAACUGCAGUUCAGCAGGAACUGCAGUUCCUUCUACCCCUUCUACCCUUCUACCCCGCAGUUCAGCAGGAAGUAGCUAGAACGAUCGUCGCCCAACUUCCAAACAGCACUUGGGCUUUCCUGUUGACAGAGGGGACUGAGGGACUAAGUGGCUAAGUUGGCUGGACUCCUUGGGUCAAUAGGGACUUCCCUAAGGGGACGUUACCUAAGCCAAAAUAAAUCAUAGCUGCAAGAGCCAAAAUAAAUCAUAGCUGCAAGCAAAGGAAUUAAAACUUCAACCAAUCAAAGGGGACUUUCCCCUAAGCCAAAAUGAGUCAAAGCUGCAAGCUAAGGGAUUGAAAUUUCAACCAAUUAUACAGGGAGUUUAAGCUCUAACUGCAGCCUGAUGUUUUUAACCAAUCAGGCCCGCCAACCUGUGGAUAGAAAAUAAGCUAAUUCUAUAGGACAAAAAGAGGAAAGGGGAGGGGUCAUAAGGGGAUAUAAGCAUAAGACACCCAAGCCACAAACAGCAUCCCUUCUGGGUCCCCUUCCACCGCGUGGAAGCUUUACUUUCACUUUCGCUUUAAUAAAUCUUGCCACUGCACCAAAAAAUAAAAAAAUAAAAAUAAAGUAAGAUGGUGAAAUAAUGAAAAUUCACAAAACCAAGGCAGAAAGAGUUGUAAGAAAAUAAGAAAAAGUGUUUGCUAUAAAUAUGGCUGCAUAUCGAAAGUUUAAUAUCUAAAGUAUAUUGCUUUUAUUCAAACCAGGCUGCCAGUGGGACCAAGACACACACAGACAGUUCAUACACCAGGAAAACCAACAUAAAACCAACAGGCAAAACACUAAACCUCGGAAGUUAAUUAAAGAAAUUCAAAUGGAAACAAUUGUAAGGGGCCAUUUAACACAUACCAGAUAAACAAGUAUAAGAAUAAAUGAUAAAAUCCAGUACUAGUGAGACUGUUGUGAAAUGGUUGCUGGUAAAAAUGUAAAUUGGUUGUUUUUUGGAGUGAAGAGCCACAAGAAUAAUCAUACCAGAAAAUAUAGCCUAUAUGAGCAAUUCAUAAAAAGAACAAAACACAAUUAUAAAAAUAUUUAUAGCUGAAUUAUUUAUAAUAGCUAAAAGUGAAAUUACCAAAAUACUCAAUAUUAGAGAAAUAAUAAAACAAAUAAUGUGAUAUAAACCUAAUAUUCAUUCAUUAGAAAUGAAAACAUGAAGAUUCUGCAAGCAAAGGGAAAUGUGAGCUGCAUGGAAGUGUUAGGGGCAAAAGUACCGGAUUUGGAGUCAAAAGAUCUAAAAUUAAGUAACCUUUGGCUAAGGAUUCAACCUCUCUGAACUUUGUUCAUCUUCUAAAACAGCAGUUUUCCACCAAUACACAGCAGUUUUCAAAUGUUUUGGCCACUACCUAAAAAUGUUUAAUUUUUUCUUCUUUUGUCGUAAGAGCACUUAACGUAAAAUCUAUCCUCUUAGCAAAUUUUCAGUAUUGUCAGCAUUGGCAAUCAUAUGUCCUAUGCUGGGUAGGAAUGUCCAGAACUUAUUUAUCUUGCAUGACUGAAACUUUGUACCCUUUGACCAACCCUUUUUCUCCACCACCCCCCCCCCCCCC